rnacentral:rRNA from 1 species
UGAGGAACAUGACCUUCGGCGGGGGAUAGCCGGCCCAACGGCCGGGUAAUACCGCGUACGACCUUUCAGGGACAUCCCUGAAUGGUGAAAGCAGCAAUGCGCCGAUGGAGUGCCUCGCGGCCUAUCAGCUAGUUGGUGAGGUAACGGCUCACCAAGGCGACGACGGGUAGCUGGUCUGAGAGGAUGGCCAGCCACAUUGGGACUGAGACACGGCCCAGACCUCCGUAGGGAGG